rnacentral:rRNA from 1 species
ACGCUCGACACCUACGGGAGGCAGCAGUCGGGAAUAUGCGCAAUGGAGGGAACUCUGACGCAGUGACGCCGCGUAUAGGAAGAAGGUUUUCGGAUUGUAAACUAUUGUCGUUAGGGAAGAGAAAGGACAGUACCUAAGGAGGAAGCUCCGGCUAACUACGUGCCAACAGCCGCGGUAAUCUGAGGCGGGCUGGCAAGGC